UACGUAGGGCGCAAGCGUUGUCCGGAUUUAUUGGGCGUAAAGAGCUCGUAGGCGGUUGCUUAAGUCGGAUGUGAAAGCCCUCGGCUUAACUGAGGAAGUGCAUCCGAAACUGAGCAGCUAGAGUACGAAAGAGGGUCGCGGAAUUCCCGGUGUAGAGGUGAAAUUCGUAGAUAUCGGGAGGAACACCGGUGGCGAAGGCGGCGACCUGGGUCGAGACUGACGCUGAGGCGCGAAAGCGUGGGGAGCAAACAGG
rnacentral:rRNA from 1 species